rnacentral:rRNA from 1 species
GCAAGGUUAACCGAAUAGGGGAGCCGAAGGGAAACCGAGUCUUAACUGGGCGUUAAGUUGCAGGGUAUAGACCCGAAACCCGGUGAUCUAGCCAUGGGCAGGUUGAAGGUUGGGUAACACUAACUGGAGGACCGAACCGACUAAUGUUGAAAAAUUAGCGGAUGACUUGUGGCUGGGGGUGAAAGGCCAAUCAAACCGGGAGAUAGCUGGUUCUCCCCGAAAGCUAUUUAGGUAGCGCCUCGUGAAUUCAUCUCCGGGGGUAGAGCACUGUUUCGGCAAGGGGGUCAUCCCGACUUACCAACCCGAUGCAAACUGCGAAUACCGGAGAAUGUUAUCACGGGAGACACACGGCGGGUGCUAACGUCCGUCGUGAAGAGGGAAACAACCCAGACCGCCAGCUAAGGUCCCAAAGUCAUGGUUAAGUGGGAAACGAUGUGGGAAGGCCCAGACAGCCAGGAUGUUGGCUUAGAAGCAGCCAUCAUUUAAAGAAAGCGUAAUAGCUCACUGGUCGAGUCGGCCUGCGCGGAAGAUGUAACGGGGCUAAACCAUG